CAAAGUGGGCAAGUUUUCUGGUCGUAACCGACCCAUCGGUCCAAGCAGGUCCGGUGGAAGAUAUGGCGGCAGUUGGUGAGGCAUCUGAUCUCAUCUUGUUCUUCAAAGUCGUAGAGACAGACAGCGCAGCUGUCAGGUGGGUCGACAAGGUCAGUGAACUUGACAACGGGGAGGAUCUCGCGUAUGAGGACGGCAGAGACGGAGUAGAACUCAGGGAUCCGUGGAGGUGUUUCGGGCCAAGAAAUGUCAGGUUCAAGGAAAUCAGGGAGACCCAGAUAGCGAAAGAGAGUGCUUAUGAGCUUGCGAAUGAAACCCAGAAAAGAAAGAGUCUGGAUUAGUAUUUUAGGGAGAAGAAGCUCGGUGUAGCCUACAGGGAAGCCCAUGGAGUAGA
rnacentral:misc_RNA from 1 species